GGUUUUGGAUAUGGAUCCAAAGGCACAGGCAACAAAUGAAAAAAGAGACAAAUGGCAUUGGGUUUAACUAAGAAGCUUCUGCACAGCAAUGAAAACAACCAACAGAGUGAAGAAAUGAUCUACAGAUUGGUAGAAAAUAUUUACAGGCUAUAAACCUGCUUCAAGGUUCAGUUCACUGAUAGGAAAAGACACAGAAAAUACCAACUGAAAACCCAGAUUCCUGUCUGUAGAAGAUCUUUCCAUCAAAAAUGAGGCAUAAUGCACCCAGCAUCCCUGUUGUUGGAAUAAUGGCUAAACAGAAAAAAAAGUCAAAAUGUUUCCUUAUGAAACUUGUGUUUGUCCAAAGCAAAUAUUUAAAUCUUAUGAAAUUUUAUGAAGUGGCUGCCAUGACAGAAUACCACAGUUUGGGUAACUUACAAAGAACAGAAUAUUUCUCACAGUUCUGGAUGCUGGGAUAUCUAAGAUCAAGAGACUAUUUGUUUUAAAUCCAAUAUAUGAAGAACUUGGACACUAUCAAUCUCACCCCCAAGAAGAAUAAAUGUGAACAAAUCCAAAGAACAAUUCUUCUUAGAUCUGUCAUAAAAUUCCUGCUAUUCUAUAGUAUAAAGACAGAUAGAUACCACCGUUUAUUGGAAACAGAAGCUCGCCUGCUACUAGAGUCAAACUAAUCUAUUGGAAGUAACAGUAGGUCAAAGCUGAGAGAGCUGGAAGACACAGAUUCUGGGGAACAAGGGAGGUUUCCAGGGAUAUCCAAAGACAAAAGGAGAAACCCAUACAAAUCCAAUAAAGGAAAUUGAAGACUUUAA